rnacentral:rRNA from 1 species
AGUGAACGCUGGCGGUAGGCCUAACACAUGCAAGUCGAACGGCAGCACAGUAAGAGCUUGCUCUUACGGGUGGCGAGUGGCGGACGGGUGAGGAAUACAUCGGAAUCUACUUUUUCGUGGGGGAUAACGUAGGGAAACUUAAGCUAAUACCGCAUACGACCUACGGGUGAAAGCAGGGGAUAUUCGGACCUUGCGCGAUUGAAUGAGCCGAUGUCGGAUUAGCUAGUUGGCGGGGUAAAGGCCCACCAAGGCGACGAUACGUAGCUGGUCUGAGAGGAUGAUCGGCCACCCUGGAACUUGGACACGGUCCAUACUCCUAAGGGAGGCAGCAGUGGGGAAUAGUGGACAAUGGUCGCAAGUCUGAUCCAGCGAUACCGAGUGUGUGAAGAAGGCCUUCCGGUUGUAAAGACCUUCUGUUGGGAAAGAAAAGCAGCAGGUUAAUACCCCGCUGUUCUGACGGUACCCAAAGAAUAAGCACCGGCUAACUUCGUG